rnacentral:lncRNA from 1 species
GGAAAAAAUCUUUAAAAUUAAUUCCCUUAAAUCCAAACAUAUGGUCAGCCCAAAAUUCCCAUGACCCAUUAACUAACCAACAAUCCUUGGAAAUUUAUUCACUGAAUCAACGGAAAAGGAGACAGCACAAAUGACAUACAUCGUUCUUUGGGAAUACACUAAUCAAUUCAUAAAGCAUGUGACAAGAUUACCAAAACUAGCAACAACAAUAAAUUUGAAAGUACUGAAGCACAACGUAAAUUAAUAAAUAAAGAGAUAGAAUUAAAAUUGAACUUUUAUUAUGGAAUAUGUUCCCCAAUGUGUACAGCAAGAAACUGAGCUUCAAAAAUCUCAAAUGAGCUUAUCAAUCAGAACCUUAGACUGGAAUCGACGACCUCGAACGAGUUCAACUCGAACGAGCUUCGAAAAUUCUCAAAUGAGCUUCUCGAUUUUUUGAGAUGGUAGGCUGGUUUUGUUUUGUAGUUGUAUUUUGUGGAGUUCAUGGCUGGAUCUUGCCGGAGUUUGGAGGCGAUUUAUGGUUGAGUUUGGGGCUAGUUUUGAGGCAUUUUGGAGUCAAUUUUGAUUGGGAAUUUGAGGUCAUUUUGGAGCUGCAUUUUGAACGAUUUUGAGGCUGUUUUUGGGUGGUUGUCGGCUGAUUAUUUUCAGCGAUUUUGGGGCCGAUUGGAGCCACUGUUGAGCUGAUUUUUGUGGGGAAAAAUAAUUGGUUUGGACGAUUUUAAUCAAUGGAAAGGCUGAAAUUUGGAGCUGGGAUUUUGAGGUUGGUUCUUCGAUGGUUUAAUGUAGUAUUUUAAUGGAGUUUAUGGUGGCUUGGGGAAGCAGAAGGCAACGCUCCUUUUUUUUUGGGCAUUUUUUUGCUGCUUUUUUUGGGUCUAAUUUUGCCCGUCCUUCACCAAAUCUUUUUCUCUCAUUCUUCUUCUUCUUAUUUAUUUUUGCGUGGGGAAGAAGGAAGAUAUAUAAGUGCAGGUAUAUGAAUUAAUUGGCGGCCAAGAAAAAAAGUAUAUGUCAUGUGAGUGAGUUUUG